rnacentral:pre_miRNA from 1 species
AUCACCUGGCUCUCUGGUUAAAAUGCAGAUUCUGGUUCAGUAGCUGUGGGGUGGGGCCUGAGAUUCUGCAUUUUUAAUUAGUUAUCCAGUGAUGCUGA